GAUGAACGCUGGCGGCGUGCCUAAUACAUGCAAGUCGAGCGAACGGACGAGAAGCUUGCUUUUCUGAUGUUAGCGGCGGACGGGUGAGUAACACGUGGAUAACCUACCUAUAAGACUGGGAUAACUUCGGGAAACCGGAUCUAAUACCGGAUAAUAUUUUGAACCGCAUGGUUCAAAAGUGAAAGACGGUCUUGCUGUCUCUUAUAGAUGGAUCCGCGCUGCAUUAGCUAGUUGGUAAGGUAACGGCUUACCAAGGCAACGAUGCAUAGCCGACGUGAGAGGGUGAUCGGCCACACUGGAACUGAGACACGGUCCAGAGUCCUACGGGAGGCAGCAGUAGGGAAUCUUCCGCAAUGGGCGAAAGCCUGACGGAGCAACGCCGCGUGAGUGAUGAAGGUCUUCGGAUCGUAAAACUCUGUUAUUAGGGAAGAACAUAUGUGUAAGUAACUGUGCACAUCUUGACGGUACCUAAUAAGAAAGCCACGGCUAACUACGUG
rnacentral:rRNA from 1 species